AUUGAACGCUGGCGGCAGGCCUAACACAUGCAAGUCGAACGAGUGGCGGACGGGUGAGUAAUGUCUGGGAAACUGCCUGAUGGAGGGGGAUAACUACUGGAAACGGUAGCUAAUACCGCAUACCAUCAGAUGUGCCCAGAUGGGAUUAGCUUGUUGGUGGGGUAACGGCUCACCAAGGCGACGAUCCCUAGCUGGUCUGAGAGGAUGACCAGCCACACGGGAACUGAGACACGGCCCAGACUCUGACGGGAGGCAGCAGUGGGGAAUAUGUGACAAUGGGCGAAAGCCUGAUCCAGCCAUGCCGCGUGUGUGAAGAAGGUCUUCGGAUUGUAAAGCACUUUAAGUUGGGAGGCGUUACCAACAGAGUAAGCACCGGCUAACUACGUGCCAGCAGCCGCGGUAAUUC
rnacentral:rRNA from 1 species